rnacentral:tRNA from 2 species
UGGGGCAUGGUGCAAUGGUAGCACGCCAGACUUUGGAUCUGUCUAUCUUGGUUCGAAUCCAGGUGCCCCAGCCU